rnacentral:rRNA from 1 species
UACGUAGGGUGCAAGCGUUAAUCGGAAUUACUGGGCGUAAAGCGUGCGCAGGCGGUUCCGCAAGUCAGAUGUGAAAUCCCCGGGCUCAACCUGGGAACUGCAUUUGAAACUACGGGGCUAGAGUGUGUCAGAGGGGGGUGGAAUUCCACGUGUAGCAGUGAAAUGCGUAGAGAUGUGGAGGAACACCAAUGGCGAAGGCAGCCCCCUGGGAUGACACUGACGCUCAUGCACGAAAGCGUGGGGAGCGAACAGG